CACGAUAUGACAGAAGUUCUUCCAAAUUUAUCUGUACUGUUAAAACAUAUGGCACAGCACUGAAACAAGAAAUCUUAGUGUCAAUCCAGAAAAUAAGAAUUGUCAGUUUUGUCGUGUUUGUGUAAAGAAAUAAAGCUCAGGAGGAAAACCCAUAAGCACCAAUUCUGUAAAGGCACAGUGAAAACCCUUGCUCAUGAAAGAGUCAGUGCGGCACGGAGGUGAUCUUUGAGGGGUGGAUCUUGUGAUGUGUUUUAGAGCUUAAAGGAACAGUUUUGAGGUAUAUCUAUCUGGAACUACUAGUGACCAAAAAUAAUAAUAAGGCACAAUGGUGAGUGUUCACUUUUGUAGAAUACUUCAUGGUGAUCUCACUCAUCAGGAUUCAUUCUUUUCCUCCAUUUCUAACAACUCAUCAAGGAAUUCCACAACUUCACCCUCAUCAUCAUCCAUUAGAUGUUCCUUUGCGAAUUCAUACAUUUCCAACUGGAGUGUGGUUAUGUUGUGAUAUCGAACUGCAUCCGAUCUGGGCUGAAAAUCCUCUUCUUGAAGUCCCCAUUUGUCUUUGUGGUACUGGUAAUAGACCAUGUUCUGUUUCAUUACUUCAUCUUUCUGGUCAAAUAGAAGGUAACUAGCAGCACAAGAGGCUGCAUUCU
rnacentral:lncRNA from 1 species